rnacentral:rRNA from 1 species
GACGAACGCUGGCGGCGUGCCUAAUACAUGCAAGUCGAGCGCAGGAAGUCGACGGAACCCUUCGGGGGGAAGUCGACGGAAUGAGCGGCGGACGGGUGAGUAACACGUAAAGAACCUGCCCUCAGGUCUGGGAUAACCACGAGAAAUCGGGGCUAAUACCGGAUGGGUCAUCGGACCGCAUGGUCCGAGGAUGAAAGGCGCUCCGGCGUCGCCUGGGGAUGGCUUUGCGGUGCAUUAGCUAGUUGGUGGGGUAAUGGCCCACCAAGGCGACGAUGCAUAGCCGACCUGAGAGGGUGAUCGGCCACACUGGGACUGAGACACGGCCCAGACUCCUACGGGAGGCAGCAGUAGGGAAUCUUCCACAAUGGACGAAAGUCUGAUGGAGCAACGCCGCGUGAACGAUGAAGGCCUUCGGGUCGUAAAGUUCUGUUGUAAGGGAAGAACAAGUACCGCAGGCAAUGGCGGCACCUUGACGGUACCUUGCGAGAAAGCCACGGCUAACUACGUGCCAGCAGCCGCAGUAACAC